rnacentral:rRNA from 1 species
UACGGGGGGAGCAAGCGUUGUUCGGAUUUACUGGGCGUAAAGAGCGCGCAGGCGGUCGUUCAAGUCGCGUGUGAAAGCCCCCGGCUCAACUGGGGAGGGUCACGCGAUACUGAUCGACUCGAAGGCAGGAGAGGGAAGUGGAAUUCCCGGUGUAGUGGUGAAAUGCGUAGAUAUCGGGAGGAACACCAGUGGCGAAGGCGACUUCCUGGACCAAAACUGACGAUCAGGCACGAAAGCGUGGGGAGCAAACAGG